AUAAAUGGUUUGAUGCUCAGCUACCGAUUCUAUAAACACCAGAUCCCAAAACCAUAAUACUUUCACCAGGAAAA